GACGAACGCUGGCGGCGUGCCUAAUACAUGCAAGUCGAACGCACUCUCGUUUAGAUUGAAGGAGUUUGCUCCUGAUUGAUAAACAUUUGAGUGAGUGGCGGACGGGCGAGUAACACGUGGGUAACCUGCCCUAAAGGGGGGGAUAACAGUUGGAAACAGAUGCUAAUACCGCAUAAAACCUAACACCGCAUGGUGUAGGGUUGAAAGAUGGUUUCGGCUAUCAUUUUAGGAUGGACCCGCGGUGCAUUAGUUAGUUGGUGAGGUAAAGGCUCACCAAGACAGUGAUGCAUAGCCGACCUGAGAGGGUGAUCGGCCACACUGGAACUGAGACACGGCCCAGACUCCUACGGGAGGCAGCAGUAGGGAAUCUUCCACAAUGGGCGAAAGUCUGAUGGAGCAACGCCGCGUGAGUGAAGAAGGUUUUCGGAUCGUAAAACUCUGUUGUUGGGGAAGAAUGUAUCUGAUAGUAACUGAUCAGGUAGUGACGGUAUCCAACCAGAAAGCCACGGCUAACUACGUG
rnacentral:rRNA from 1 species